UCUGUAUUCAUACUGGGAUGUGUCUGCCAUUCCUUUGCUCUGUGUUCAAGCCAUGCUAGCAAACACUUACCAUCAUGGCUCGAAACAUUUGUAAGAAAUGUAUGCUGCUAUUUUGCACGCAGUAGUAAGCGUCAAAAUGACUUGAAAAUGAUCCAGGACAUUGUUCAUGCUCCAAAGCACAAAAUGCUAAAAUUAUCAGAGACUCGUUGGCUUUCAAGAUCAGAAGUCAUAGCCAGAAUACUAGAGCAGUGGGAAGCACUGCAGCUUUUUUCCAAAGUGAAGCAAAGAAAAAUGAUGAUGGAGCUGCCAUGAUAUACAAGAACAUGAUUACUCCUGGAACCAAGCAUAUGCUGCUGUUCUUGAACUAUAUCCUCCCUAAAGUGGACAGAAUGAAUUUGGAAUUCCAGUCUGAAUAUUUCAGACUUGCAUCACUUUUUACAACAGUUUCCGUUGAGUACAGGAGUAUCAUGGGAAUGUUUGUUCGUGAUGAAGUGGUAGCCAACAAAGAGUUAUCUCUCAUUAACCCAGGAAAUGAUUCUUUGUACAAAGAGAUCAGUGAAAUUAACCUUGGUGGCAGGUGUGCUGCAUUGCUAAUCAAGGAACCUUUGGGAGAUCAGGAAAGAAGGUUUCGUCUCGACUGCCGAAAGUUCCUGGUAGAACUGUGCCUACAAAUGAAAAAAAGAUUCUCUUUUCAUAGCGACAGUGUGCUUUGCUUGUUAAGAAUCAUCGAACCGAAAGAAUCUUUAUCACCCAAGAGGAACUCCAGUGACAUCUUAAAACUAGCACUACAAUUUCCAUCGCUUGUGAAAGAGGAUGAGUUGGACGCCCUGCAGGAUCAGUGGAAGGAUUUGCUAUAUGCAAAAGAAGCACUGAAGAAUCUUAACGAGAAGGCAACUGCUUUCUGGAGUGAACUAAAAUCAGUGAAGGAUGGGAACAACGAGCCGAGAUUUGCCUGUUUGUCAAAAUUCAUGUGCGGCCUGCUAGCUCUGCCUCAUUCAUCUGCAUGUGUGGAGCGGGUAUUUUCGCAGCUGAAUAUGAUAAAACAAAACAAACAAACAGGCUUGGCGUGUCCACCACGUCAAACAGACUCCUUGCUAAACAAGCGAUCAGCCGUCAGGAGGUACCAUGCUAUCAAUGGCAACCAUCAACAUCCCUCAUCAAAGACGUAAAAAGUGGGCAGUGUUACCGAAGGUGUGCUGAGCGAGAACGGCAAGGCAAAGAGGAGAGGGUGGCAACACUGCAUCCAGCUGUGGAGGAUGCCAUUGAGGGCGAAGUAGACGAACCCCCCAACUCGUGUAUACCUGCAGUAAUACUGAAAGUCCGAGACGUAUAGAUAGAAGCAAUAGGAGGAGGAAAAAAUAAGAACAAAACAGGAGGACGAAGAAGAAAGGAGAAAGGAAGUGGAAGAGUCGUC
rnacentral:misc_RNA from 1 species